UUUUUGUGCUGGGGAUCUCUAUUUGAACAAAUGACUGGAAAUUCUAAAACUGAGCGGCGCGUCCGUUCUGCUGAGACGUUCGGUGAGUUCUGUGCGAUAGCUCUGGCAGUUUGAUUCGUAAACGCCUCUGUCGGCGCCCUCACCCUCUGCCGCUGCCCCUUCCUCUGCCUCUGCCACAGUGGUUGGUGUCCACGCGUUUGCUACGUGAGCAAAAACGAAGACGACGAUAACACACAAAGAGGAGGCAGCACAGGCGGAGGUAUAAAGCAAAGAAACAACAACUGGUUUUACAGCGCAACAUAAAAAACAAACUUUUUUUUUAUAAUUUCUCUGAAAACCAAGUCCCACUGUAUACUCAUUUUCAAAACAAAAACAAAAAACAGCCGAUGCGCCGGUUCACGGAUGCGAGAGAGCGACAGUUUUCAGAUACAAAGAGAGAGAGAGAGAGAUCGGGAGGCGUCGGCGUGAGAGCCCCCUCUCACAACCGGCAGAGAGUCAGCGCAGGGCCGGCACCCUGUAUCCAGCAGAUACAGGUUUUCUCGCAGUGUGCGUACGUGCGGUGCGUUGUAUUUAUGGUUUUUGUUUUUGUACGCAUUUUCUACCGAAUGUUGUUUUGAUUCCAGCCUAAAAGUUCAUAACCUCAGCAUAUAAAUAGACAGGUGCGAUUUGCAAUUAAAAUCACACACCGGAGGAGGCCCCAAAAACUUUAAAAACAUAAACACAGGCCAUCCCGCUCGCACCAUGCGUGUAAUUGUAAUACCGUUGGGAUAUAAAAAAAGAGAGCAAACCAAAAUAAACAUGUGAUUUUCGGCACGUAGGCCAAGCCAAGGAGAGUUGGUGGAGGAAAAACUUCAAAACAACGAGAGAGAGG